rnacentral:rRNA from 1 species
CCUACGGGAGGCAGCAGUGAGGAAUAUUGGUCAAUGGCCGGAAGGCUGAACCAGCCAUGCCGCGUGAAGGUCAGUGCCCUAUGGGCGUUAAACUUCUUUUGUGCGGGAGCAAUAAUGGUCACGUGUGGCCAGACGAGAGUACCGUACGCAUAAGCAUCGGCUAACUCCGUGCCAGCAGCCGCGGUAAUACGGGGGAUGCAAGCGUUAUCCGGAUUUAUUGGGUUUAAAGGGUGCGUAGGCUGUGAGGUAAGUCAGCGGUGAAAUGCCCCCGCGCAACGGGGUGAAGUGCCAUUGAGACUGCCUUGCUGGAGUGCGGAUGCGGUGGGAGGAAUGUGUGGUGUAGCGGUGAAAUGCAUAGAUAUCACACAGAACACCGAUUGCGAAGGCAGCUCACGAAUCCGCGAUUGACGCUGAUGCACGAAAGCGUGGGUAUCAAACAGGAUUAGAUACCCCAGUAGUC